GCUGGAUUAGCUCAGUUGGUAGAGCAGCUGACUUGUAAUCAGCAGGUCGCGGGUUCGAGUCCCAUAUCCAGCUCCA
rnacentral:tRNA from 1 species